GGGCCGUUAGCUCAGUUGGUAGAGCAGGUGACUCUUAAUCACAAGGUCGCAGGUUCGACUCCUGCACGGCCCACCA
rnacentral:tRNA from 1 species